rnacentral:siRNA from 1 species
AUGGAGAACAAAUAUGGGAAG